CGGGACGGGUGAGUAAUGUCUGGGAAACUAGCCUGAUGGAGGGGGAUAACUACUGGAAACGGUAGCUAAUACCGCAUAACGUCGCAAGACCAAAGAGGGGGACCUUCGGGCCUCUUGCCAUCGGAUGUGCCCAGAUGGGAUUAGCUAGUAGGUGGGGUAACGGCUCACCUAGGCGACGAUCCCUAGCUGGUCUGAGAGGAUGACCAGCCACACUGGAACUGAGACACGGUCCAG
rnacentral:rRNA from 1 species